AUACGUAGGUGACAAGCGUUAUCCGGAUUUACUGGGCGUAAAGGGCGUGUAGGCGGUCUUGCAAGUCAGAAGUGAAAUUCCUGAGCUCAACUCGGGCGCUGCUUCUGAAACUGCAGGACUUGAGUGCUGGAGGGGAUAGCGGAAUUCCUAGUGGAGCGGUAAAAUGCGCAGAUAUUAGGAAGAACACCGGUGGCGAAGACGGCUAUCUGGACAGUAACUGACGCUGAGGCGCGAAAGCGUGGGGAGCAAACAGGAUUGGAUACCCUGGUAUCCCACGACGUAAACGAUGAAUACUAGGUGUAGGGGGUAUCGACUCCCUCUGUGCCGCAGGUAACACAAUAAGUAUUCCGCCUGGGGAGUACGGCCUCAAGGUUGAAACUCAAAUGAAUUGACGGGG
rnacentral:rRNA from 1 species